CAGCCGCCGCGGUAAUACGUAGGGUGCGAGCGUUAAUCGGAAUUACUGGGCGUAAAGCGUGCGCAGGCGGUUCGUUAAGACAGAUGUGAAAUCCCCGGGCUUAACCUGGGAACUGCAUUUGUGACUGGCGAGCUAGAGUAUGGCAGAGGGGGGUAGAAUUCCACGUGUAGCAGUGAAAUGCGUAGAGAUGUGGAAGAAUACCGAUGGCGAAGGCAGCCCCCUGGGCCAAUACUGACGCUCAUGCACGAAAGCGUGGGGAGCAAACAGGAUUAGAUACCCCUGUAGUCCCUGUCUCUUAUAC
rnacentral:rRNA from 1 species